GUUUGCUCGUGUGUAAUGGCGAACAGCUUCUUGCAGGAGUCUUAAUACCUGUAGUGUCAGAAUGUUCAUGGCACCAAAUGAGACACAAACCACAGCUAAGAGCUCUUUCAGUGGUGUCAUGUGGACAAGCCAGAUGGCAGCGACUUGAAGAGUGACUAACCAGACCUUGCUUUUUCUGGACGGAGGGAGAGAAGUGGCAAAAUUACAUUUUCCAGCUCCCUGUUGCUAAGGAUACCUAUAUGACACAUCCCUGGCCAAUAAGGUUUGAACUUUCAUACCAGGGUGACUCUGCUAGCACACUUGGUCAGGGCCUUGUUCUUCCUGUUUUCUGCCCACACCAUAGUCUGAUUGAUAGA